CUCGAUACAUUUCAAAGUGCGCGCACGCACGCACAGCGAGUGCCGUAAGCUGCGUUAGUGAGAAAAGCACAUGGAUACAUUUGUGAGAGAAAAACUCGUCGAGUGCAGUCUUAUCGAGACGUUUAACGGUUGGAACAAACAUGGUGGAAUUCCUUAACCGAGUAGAGUCCACAAAACCCCAUCCAUUUGUCA